rnacentral:ncRNA from 15 species
UAAACGACAGGAAGCGUUGAACUUUGCAUCUGAAUUGGUCGCUUGGCGCGGUGGAUGCGUCGGGUGCAAAGGGAGCUGAAUAGCGAAACCGGCCUUUGUGUG